rnacentral:rRNA from 1 species
UACAGAGGUCCCAAGCGUUGUUCGGAUUCACUGGGCGGAAAGGGUGCGUAGGCGGUCGGGUAAGUCUGAUGUGAAAUCUCACAGCUUAACUGUGAAACUGCAUUGGAUACUAUUCGGCUUGAGAGUUGGAGGGGGGACUGGAAUUCUUGGUGUAGCAGUGAAAUGCGUAGAUAUCAAGAGGAACACCAGUGGCGAAGGCGAGUCCCUGGACAACUUCUGACGCUGAGGCACGAAAGCUAGGGGAGCAAACAGG